GGAGACAUUUUUCCUCUUUUUAUUAAUGAUUUUAUUUGUUUACAAUUCAAAUGAUAACCCCCUUCCCUCUUUCCCCUCCACACACUCACCAUCCCAUCCCCCUCUCCUCUUUGCCUCCACCCACUCCAGAUUCACACUGCUAUAGCAUCGCCCUGCACUGGGGUAUCAAGCCUCCACAGGACCAAGGGCUUCCCCUCCCACUGAUGCCAGAUGAAGCCAUCGUCUGCUACAUAUAGAGCUGGAGCCAUGGAUCUCUCCAUGCAUACUCUUUGGUAGGUGGUUUAGUCCCUGGAUGCUCUUUGUGGUCCAGUGGGUUGAUUUGUUCUUCCUAUGGGGUUGCAGUCCCCUUCAGUUCUGUCAAUCCUUUCCUAACUCUUCUGAUGAGGUCUUGCCUGUGUUUAGACAGAAAUGAUUCUGGGUUAAAAAUUUUGAUAUGGAUGGGUGGCCCAAUCCCUCAACUGGUGCCCGUGCGAAUCUACUGGAAGUGGUGUCUACAGGUUCUAUCUCCCCUUUGUUGGAUAUUUUGGCUAAUGUCAUUCCCCUUGGGUCCUGGGAACCUCUCACUUCCCUGGUAUCUGGGACUUUCUAGAGGCUACCCCCAGUUCCCCAUCAUCUGGUGCUACGUAUUUAUAUUUCCUGAUCCUCUGUACUUCUCUCUUGUCUCUUCCCAUACCUGAUCCUACCCACCCUUUUAUUUUGUCCCCUUCCUCACUCCCUUUUAGGUACCCACAAAGCAACUUCAUUGGAAACUUUUGCCCCAAGGAAUGGCUAAUAGCUUUCCAUUAUGUAAAAAAUUUUGUUGCUGCUUGGAAACAAGAAGUUAGGACGUUGAAUCUUUCAGUGUCUAUUGUUCCUUAUAUGGAUACUUUAUCAGCUGAUCCCUCUGAAGGAGUUUUUACUACAAGCCUUGUCUCUGAUACAAGGAGCUUUAAAAUUUUGGAGUGGUUGUUGUUCAAAGGCAGUAUCUUCUGGCCUCCUCCAAGGGGCUGGCUUCAAGUCUCCAGCUCUGCCCUUUGCAGCACUCUAGGCUCAGGUGGAUCCACUUCACUGAUGCUGCUAUUCUUGGAGAUCAUACCAUGGUACUGGCAUCUCUCACAAGUGUGGUCUUCUGCUGCAAAUAGGCCCCACCAAUAGCCUCUCAUAGGCUCGCUGUCUAUUAAAACUGAGGCUGAACCUUCACCAAUAGCCCCAGAUGCCCUGAUCUUGUCACCCAUGACUGCCAUGUGUGACACAGUUACACCCCACUUGUGACUCCUGACCCAAAGACACCCCAACCCUGCCCAAGCUCUGCUCCUUGGUGCCCCAUUCAACUCACAACCUGAACGAGGCCUUAUGAUGAUGAUGGGACACAGAGUGGUGAGUGACCCCCACCCCCCAACUCCUGGGAAGCCUGGGCCAAGGCAUGUGACAUUGGGCUGGGGGUGGGGGGGGCGAAUCCUGAUGUCACCAUGAAUCACUGGUGCAAGCGGUGGGGGCUAGGGGUCAGAACCUGGAGUGCCUAGUGGGCAGGGCUGAGGCUGGGUUGGAGUGAGGUGGACAGUGUCGAGGUCAUGUCAGGGUUACAGGACAGUGUCAUCCAGGGCACAGGGCAAUAUAGAGGUCAUGAUGGGAUCAAAGGUUGGGGUUUACAUAUGAUAUCCAGGUUAGGUGUAAAGUCGGUGUCCAAGUCAUAGGUCAGGGAUCACAUAGGUGGUUGUUGGUCACUGCCACCAGGGACUGGGAUCACCAAGCCAUCCAGGAGACCCCGGGUGAACUCUGGCCACCCUCCAGCCUCGCCCUCUCGCCCAGCCCCCAUGACAGCUGCCUGACCCAAGCCUGAGGGGGAAGAGAGAGGAGGAAGGGGGUUAAGUGGAGGGCCUGAGCAUUGGCUGGAUGGACCAGAAGGAGGACAGAGCAGUGUGUGACAACGCGUGACCCCUCGUGACCCCUAAGCUCUCCAACAUGGCCAUGCCUGCUGCUGGGAUCCUGCUGAGAGCUCGGGGUCAUUGCCCUCGCCUUCAGGCCCUGCCUCCCAGCCUGUCCCAUGGACCCCGCCCCGCCACACACAUAUGAACGUGCAUGAGCUCUCUGUCCCUUUGCCCGGACCCCCAUGUCCCUAAGUUGCUGCAGGCGCUGGAGGCGCUGGGGUGGGGCUGCUACUUCCAGUUCCCAUCCCCGGAAGGUUGCCCACUAGUGAUGAGCUCGUCUCAUUACAGCUCCUGACCUCACUUCAUCUCUGUCUCCCUCUGUGUGGCCCUCAGCUAUUGAAGACGCCUGGAAGGAGAAAUGGAAGCAGGAUCACUCAUCCAGUCAUCACUCCCAAAUCUAUAAGAAACUUCCAUAAGGAAUUUUCUUCUUUCUUCCUUCCUUCCUUCCUUUCUUUCUUUCUUUCUUUCUUUCUUUCUUUCUUUCUUUCUUUCUUUCUUUCUUUCUUUCUUUCUUUCUUUCUUUCUUUCUCUUUCUUUCUUUCUUUCUUUCUUUCUUUUUCUUUCUUUCUUUCUUUCUUUCUUUUUUCCUUCCUUCCUUCCUUCCUUCCUCUCUCUCUCUCUCUCUCUUUCUUUCUUUCUUUCUUUUUUUUCCCCCAAGAUAUAUUUAUUUAUUAUGUUUAGAAUUCUGCCUGCUUUUACACCCAGGGGCCACAAGAGUGAGCCAGAAUUCGUGGUCAUCUAUUCAGCCACCAAAGGAAGGUGACAAGAACAGGAUUGGGAAUCUGCGCAUGCUCAAUCGCCGGAGGCGGGUUUAAAGUCUUGUCUCAAGUAUUUUUCUUUUUGGAAGAAAUGAACAUUUUACUUAAACUUUAGAAGAGAUGAGAAAUAAAACUCACGUUUUCCUGGGGAGCUGCGAGCGAGCGCCACAACUCCAACGAACUCCUCCCCAUUAACCGCGCCAAACUGUGGUGGUAGGCUGGAAGCAAAAACCGCAUCACAGCUUUUAUUUUAAUCAUUAUUAUUGAUAAUUAAUAAAGUUCAACCUCUGACUCGCUGAAACCUGGAAAUAAAGUUUCUUCCUCGGUUUAUAAAUGACUUCCGGUGACCACAGGGAGAAAACAAAGACCAAGGAUCUCUCAGAGGCCAUGAAAUGAAUUUCUAACCUGGAGCCAGACUCGUGAUACUGAACAGCGGAGGAGUCUAGCCUCGGCACGGGAUCGGAGUUCUCACCUGGAAGUGGGGCUAUCUGGGAGGCACGUAAUAAACAGACACAGACUGCUUUUUUGGGUGCAAGCUGACAGGUGGUUUUUCAAGGCUUAGAGUUUCUCUCACUCUCUGCACUUUUUGCUUGCUUGCUCACAGCUCAAGGCUGCGCCCUCUGCUUUCUUCUAUGUGCUUUACACACAGGUGCCUCACAACACCACACACAUGCCUCACACAUGCUUCACACAUGUCUCACAUGCCUCACACUAGCCCCUACACAUACACAGCUCACAUGCCUCACAAAUGCCUCACACACACGCUUCACACAUGCCUCACACAGGCCUCACACAUGCCUCUCACACAUGCCUCACACACGCCUCAUACAUGCCAUACACACACAUACUCCACAUGCAUUCUCCUUUCACUCACUCACUCUCCACCUCCUCUUCUAAGCCUCUCUGGCCUUCCUCCUGUCCCAGUCUUUUAUUGACACUCCAAAAGCAGGUAGAAAAAAAGACACUGUAUAUUCCUUGGCAAAUCAAAUUCAAAAGAAUAACGGAAUCCCACAAGAAUCAGCAAUUACAAUUGUUCCCCAAAGUUUCUACCUUUCCCUAUUCCCAGGCUUCUGGCCAAAGUAAUAAUAAUUGCAAACUUAUCAUUGUUGAAACUUUAAAUUUUAACUUAUUCUACUUAAGAGCUCAAAGCUCUGAGGUCAGCUUGCAUUUUCCUGUUAAGCUCUUAUGAUAAAAAGGUAGGCAAAUCUGCCAGGCAUCAGCCAGAAAGAAUCAAGUCAACCCUUAACUCAGCGGUUCCACUGGCUUUCCACCUCAGCACACUGUACACAGUGACUCCCCUGAGAGUCCCUGUGCUCUGACUUAGUUUUACGAGUAUAAGAUUUUAAAUAUUCUAUACUUGUUCAUCCAGGAACCACUCUCAAAUGCUGUGCAAAACUCAUUUCAUAAGUUAUUUCCUUUACCGGAGUCCCGAUGUUGGCUCUAGUUCAUUUUCUAAUCAUGCCUCUCAAACGUUCUCUGCAAGUCAAGCAUGAAUCCGGAAUUGCCAUUGUGCAGUUAUUGCAUUGUUUCCAAAAUGAGAGCACAAGCAUGCACCCAGGCCUCAGUUUUUAAUCUUUUAAGAAUUGUGACAUCAGGGAACAUCUUGUUUCACAGAACUCACUGUAGUAGAUGGAGAAAGAAGAAAGAAAUUCGGGUAUAAUAGAAUUAUUAUCCACAUCAGGGGCAACUGAAAAGCAGUCAGACACGAAUGAAAUCUAUACAGACACUGUCCAGGUCUAAGGUUGGAAGACAUGGGAACAAACGAUUUUUACACGGAGCUGCCGCAGGCUCCUGAGAUGAUUCUAUCCUGGCCUGUUGCAGGCAGUCUCUGUCAUGGCAUGCUGUCCCCAGCAGGUCAUUUUCUGGGGAACCGUUCCACCCAAGUGUGCCCCCACUCAAGCCCCUGUGCCCAUAGCAUCCUGUAGGUGACCUCUCUCCUCCGUGUCUCAGACUUCUCAGCUCUCUCUGUCUGAGUCACAUCCUCAUCUCUGUCCCUCCCCAGUGAGAAUGCAUCUCUGCUCAGGCAGGCUCUGGCUAUUUUACACAGACUGUGAGACGUCCUGAGCCGAGUAGAGGACAGAGGUUCCCACGAGUCAUCUUCAUCUUCUGAGUCAUUGUUCACACUCACAGGGACACAGCCUGACAAUUCACCCCAUGGCUGAGCUCGGGGGACACCAACAACAGAGCAAGCAGGCCUCUGUGCUGUCUUUUCACGUUUUUCAGGGGGUCCUGUGGACUGGCUCCUGUUUAAAUGCCCACAGUAGGCCCUUUAUGUUCACAAUGUUUUGUGAAUUUAUUUUCUGAGUCAGAUUCCUCCUCUGAGGUCGGUUUCUCCUCUUGAGUCACCACGGCCCUGUCCUGAGCCACUUUUCUCAGGCUUUUCUCUGGAGAAAUAAACAUGUUUCUCAACCCUGAGAGAGGUCCUGGCAGCACAUGGGAGUCCCCACAGUCCUGGGCACCUGUGGCUUUUCUGUCCCCUGCCUGUGCCUUCCUCAGCAGGUUCCCCACAGUAGACGCUGUGAGGGGCAGGUCUGGGCCUCCAUUCCUUGUGAACUGGAUUUUAAUAUCUCACCCUGCUCUCUCUCACAAGUCCAUAUCUAACAUUCUGACAGAAGACAGUUAGGUGCCAGUGCCCACCUCAGUGCCUGUCUCUUUAAGAGUCUGCUCCAUAAUGUUUGUGAGGAACUCUGUCUUCAGACUCACUGUGUGCCAUCCUGAGAGAGGCCCACUAAGUGCACACACCCCAGAGCUGAUGGCUCCUGACCUAAGACCAAACUCUCAAUUACCAGAGAUGGAGAAACCAAAGUAUUCCACGACAAAACCAAAUUCACACAUUAUCUUUCCUCGAAUCCAGCCCUUCAAAGGAUAAUAACAGAAAAGAAGCAAUACAAGGACAGAAAUCACGCCUUAGAACAAGCAAGAAAGUAAUCCCUCAACAAACCAAAAAGAAGACAGCCACAAGAACAGAAUGCCAACUCUAACAACAAAAAUAAAAGGAAGCAACAAUUACUUUUCCUUAAUAUCUCUUAAUAUCAAUGGACUCAAUUCCCCAAUAAAAAGACAUAGACUAACAGACUGGCUACACAAACAGGACCCAACAUUCUGCUGCUUACAAGAAACCCAUCUGAGGGAAAAAGACAGACACUACCUCAGAGUGAAAGGCUGGAAAACAAUUUUCCAAGCAAAUGGUCUGAAGAAACAAGCUGGAGUAGCCAUUCUAAUAUCGGAUAAAAUCGACUUCCAACCCAAAGUUAUCAAAAAAGACAAGGAGGGACACUUCAUACUCAU
rnacentral:lncRNA from 1 species